UUCAUUAAGCCAGACCAUAAUACUAUUGGAAGCUUCUCAUAACACUGUAGCAUUAUAGCAAUUUACCAGUCGCUGCCUAAUAUCUCAAGCUCUGCUGGGCCAAGAAAAUAACUUGUUUGGGAUGGCUUGUCUAGUCCAGAAGUCACAGGUGCUACUGGGUCAGCAUUUCCAGCUUCCUAAGACAGUGCUGUCUUUGUUUCACUAUGAACUUCACCAUUGGAAAAUUGAAUAAGUAAUCAGAGGUUUGAGUUACAUUAUUUGAUGUCAGCUCUUCAGCAAUGGUCAAAAGAAGAUAUAUAUAUA